UACAGAGGGGGCAAGCGUUGUUCGGAAUUACUGGGCGUAAAGGGCGCGUAGGUGGCCAACUAAGUCGGACGUGAAAUCCCUCAGCUUAACUGGGGAACUGCGUCCGAUACUGGAUGGCUUGAGUUUGGGAGAGGGAUGCGGAAUUCCAGGUGUAGCGGUGAAAUGCGUAGAUAUCUGGAGGAACACCGGCGGCGAAGGCGGCAUCCUGGACCAACACUGACACUGAGGAGCGAAAGCCAGGGGAGCAAACGGG
rnacentral:rRNA from 1 species